UACGGAGGGUGCGAGCGUUGUCCGGAUUUACUGGGCGUAAAGCGCGCGCAGGCGGCAGUCUAAGUCCUCUGUGAAAUCACCCGGCUCAACUGGGUGGCUGCGGAGGAGACUGGGCAGCUUGAGGGGCCUAGAGGCCGGUGGAACUCCCGGUGUAGUGGUGAAAUGCGUAGAGAUCGGGAAGAACACCAGUGGCGAAGGCGGCCGGCUGGGGGCGCCCUGACGCUGAGGCGCGAGAGCAUGGGGAGCAAACCGG
rnacentral:rRNA from 1 species